rnacentral:rRNA from 1 species
CCUACGGGUGACAGCAGUAGGGAAUAUUGCUCAAUGGGGGAAACCCUGAAGCAGCAACGCCGCGUGGAGGAUGAAGGUUUUCGGAUUGUAAACUCCUUUUUUUAGAGAAGAUAAUGACGGUAUCUAACGAAUAAGCAACGGCUAACUCCGUGCCAGCAGCCGCGGUAAUACUGAGGGUGCAAGCGUUACUCGGAAUCACUGGGCGUAAAUAGCGCGUAGGAGGGUUAGCAAGUCAGAUGUGAAAUCAUAUGGCUUAACCAUAGAACUGCAUUUGAAACUGUUAUUCUAGAGUAUGGGAGAGGUAGGUGGAAUGCUUGGUGUAGGGGUAAAAUCCGUAGAGAUCAAGAGGAAUACUCAUUGCGAAGGCGACCUGCUAGAACAUAACUGACGCUGAUGCGCGAAAGCGUGGGGAGCAAACAGGAUUAGAUACCCGAGUAGUC